rnacentral:rRNA from 1 species
AAAUUGAAGAGUUUGAUCAUGGCUCAGAUUGAACGCUGGCGGCAGGCCUAACACAUGCAAGUCGAACGGUAACAGGAAGCAGCUUGCUGUUUCGCUGACGAGUGGCGGACGGGUGAGUAAUGUCUGGGAAACUGCCUGAUGGAGGGGGAUAACUACUGGAAACGGUAGCUAAUACCGCAUAACGUCGCAAGACCAAAGAGGGGGACCUUCGGGCCUCUUGCCAUCGGAUGUGCCCAGAUGGGAUUAGCUAGUAGGUGGGGUAACGGCUCACCUAGGCGACGAUCCCUAGCUGGUCUGAGAGGAUGACCAGCCACACUGGAACUGAGACACGGUCCAGACUCCUACGGGAGGCAGCAGUGGGGAAUAUUGCACAAUGGGCGCAAGCCUGAUGCAGCCAUGCCGCGUGUAUGAAGAAGGCCUUCGGGUUGUAAAGUACUUUCAGCGGAGAGGAAG